rnacentral:rRNA from 1 species
AUAAUGGGUCAGCGACUUAUAUUCUGUAGCAAGGUUAACCGAAUAGGGGAGCCGAAGGGAAACCGAGUCUUAACUGGGCGUUAAGUUGCAGGGUAUAGACCCGAAACCCGGUGAUCUAGCCAUGGGCAGGUUGAAGGUUGGGUAACACUAACUGGAGGACCGAACCGACUAAUGUUGAAAAAUUAGCGGAUGACUUGUGGCUGGGGGUGAAAGGCCAAUCAAACCGGGAGAUAGCUGGUUCUCCCCGAAAGCUAUUUAGGUAGCGCCUCGUGAAUUCAUCUCCGGGGGUAGAGCACUGUUUCGGCAAGGGGGUCAUCCCGACUUACCAACCCGAUGCAAACUGCGAAUACCGGAGAAUGUUAUCACGGGAGACACACGGCGGGUGCUAACGUCCGUCGUGAAGAGGGAAACAACCCAGACCGCCAGCUAAGGUCCCAAAGUCAUGGUUAAGUGGGAAACGAUGUGGGAAGGCCCAGACAGCCAGGAUGUUGGCUUAGAAGCAGCCAUCAUUUAAAGAAAGCGUAAUAGCUCACUGGUCGAGUCGGCCUGCGCGGAAGAUGUAACGGGGCUAAACCAUGCACCGAAGCUGCGGCAGCGACGCUUAUGCGUUGUUGGGUAGGGGAGCGUUCUGUAAGCCUGUGAAGGUGUACUGUGAGGUA